UACGUAGGGUGCAAGCGUUGUCCGGAAUUAUUGGGCGUAAAGAGCUCGUAGGCGGUCUGUCGCGUCGGCUGUGAAAACCCGGGGCUCAACCCCGGGCCUGCAGUCGAUACGGGCAGACUAGAGUGCGGUAGGGGUGACUGGAAUUCCUGGUGUAGCGGUGAAAUGCGCAGAUAUCAGGAGGAACACCGGUGGCGAAGGCGGGUCUCUGGCUCGUAACUGACGCUCAUGCACGACAGCGUGGGGAUCAAACAGG
rnacentral:rRNA from 1 species